CCGGCGUCGUGCUCACCAUGCCCACCUCGCCCAGUACCGUCAGCUGCCCGCGAGCGCCCCUUAGCCCCGCUGGCCUAGGCCAGGGACACACCGGCCACGUCCGCUUCUUGGCUGCAGUCCAGCUGCCAGACGGCUUCAACCUGCUCUGCUCAACCCCACCACCUCCCCCAGACAUGGGUAGGUUUGUGCAUCCUACCAAUCCAGGGAUCCUGGGAUCCUCUUCAGUCUCUUAAGACUCCCCCGUCCUGCCAGAAGAGGUUUAAGAGGGAAGAAGAGUGUAAUACAGAGCUGGAAAUGGCAUAUAUGACGGGAAAUAGGCUCUAGAAACCCCAAAAUAAAACCUCCUGGGAUAGGGGGUGUGUGUAAAACUCUAUCUAGAAGUGUCACGGUAAACAGGGAGUGAACCGUAAGAACUAUAACCCAAGAAUUAGACUAUGGCACCGCAAGGGAUGUAUAUGGCAGGAGAUGAAAGAGGACUAGAGAUGAUGUCUGGGGCAGAAAGUGGAGUCAGGAAGUGAUGUGCAGAGCAGGAAAUAGAAAUGGCACCAGUAAGUAAAACACAAAUGGUAGAUAAGACAGAAGUGGCCUAUGAGAAUUAGAAAGUGAAAUGUAUUAGGAAACGAUGUACAUCAAGGAGGCUACAAUUAGCCAAGUCUUGCUUUGACCGGGCAGGAAACCAUAUUCCCAAGAGGAAGUGGCAGUGGGAAUCGGGAAGCAGGGAAGCCUCGGGCAGGAGUGGUCUGUGUCCAGAGAAGACCUAAGCUCCCUAGCCGAGAAAGGGCUGUUGGAAGCAGGAAGUGGUAUGAGGAGGACAGUGCAUGUGCAGUAACAGAGAAAGUGGUGUGGCCCUGGGAACCUAUGCCGCUCUUGACUAGAAAGUACAGAUAGAGGUAAGUUGUGUGACUGCCAAGAAGUGGGCAUUUCUUUUCAAACAAGGAGUUCUUGGCUAACAGGAAGUAGGAUCCCCUCAGGAAGUGUACCUGUCUCUGUUCCUUGUCUUCUGGGGUGCAGGCCUUUAGGGGACAGUACAGCCACCAGUUGCCCCCAGGCUAACGGAUCCUCUCCCUCCACUCCCAAGGCCCUGAGAAGCUUCCAUCCCUGGAGCACCGGGACUCCCCUCGGCACCGAGGACCUGCCUCAGCCAGGCCUAAAAUGCUGGUUAUCAGUGGAGGUGACGGCUAUGAGGACUUCCGACUCAGCAGUGGGGGUGGUGGCAGCAGCGAGACUGUGGGCCGAGAUGAUAGCACAAACCACCUCCUCCUAUGGAGGGUGUGACCCUGUCCACUGUGGCCCAGGACUUGCCCGCCCACUUGCCCUCAACCUGCUUGCCUCUUCCUAGCCCACGUGCAGACUCUGACUGGGAGUGUCCCACCAGGGGCUCACCUGUGACUGUGUGGGCUCCCUCCUAUCCCUGAGGAAGUAUUACUGAUGGAACACCUGCUGGCCAGUGGGCCAAGGCCUUUCCCAACCCUCUGGCUGCUGCGGUGUUCCCAGUCAUGAUUGGGGUGGGGUAGGGGGCACGUGGGCUGCCCAGGACCUCUGUCCCUGGAGCUUCUACCAAAGACACAGCCAGGCCUGGACCCCAUGGGGCUAGGGAGGGCCAUGUGCAAUAUUUGGAGGGUUUUCUGGGGACAGUGGGAGGGCUGGGGCAGAAUCCUUUCCCAUGUACAGUAUUUAUGUUCCUUUUUAGAUGUGUACCUUCCCAAGCACUUAUUUAUGCAAUGACCUGGGCAGGGGGUGAUUUGAAGAAAUAACAGAAGGGAAAAAACCCUAUAUCUGCUCUGGGGGCCACCUAGGACCCUAAGCAAGCCUUCCUGGAAGGACCAAUCCCCCCGCCAUUACAUACUUGCACGCAUGUGUGCACACACAGACACACACACACACACUGCAUGUUCAGGGCACUAAAACAUUGCCUCUUCACAUAUACUUUCCACGGCCUUGUCCUGAUUGGGCUGCCCUCCAGUAUCCAGAGCCAAGGACCAAGUACCCUCAGUCGUCCAGAACAAGAUGAUGACUGCUGGGGGCAGUGACUCCCAUCUGGGGGCCUCCCCAGGCCUUGGUAUUUCCUAACUUCUUGGCAGUGCCUUUAGUCAUUUCCAAAUUUGGUAACACUGAUGGGGACGUGGGCAAGGCUCUCUCCUGGCCUGAGCAGGGAAGAGGAAAGGGCCCCUGCUCUCCAUAAAGUUGCCUCCCCAGCCCCUGUGUCUCAUGCACUGGCACGUAUGGUCACCUUAGGAGUGUGGGCCUAAGAGCCCCAUCACUCUGACCACUGAGUCCCUCUCUUCACACCCUUCCUGCCAGGGCAGCCCCUCCAGGAAGAAUGCCCAGAGCUGAGGGGCUGGACAUGGCCUCUUCAACUGGGAACCACUUGAGGGCAGCCUCUUCUCUGCCCCCUGGACUGCAGGAGCCAGUCUGACCCCCAGCCCCCUUGCUUCUUCAGCUACAGCUCCAAAGGUCUGGUUUCAGAUGGGGUUUGUUUGGUUCUGUUUUUGUUUGGGGUGCGUGGGUCAUUGCGGUCUUAGAUUAUGUUUCUCUUGCUACCAAACAGUCAUGUAUUAACUUUCCUUGGAUGAUGAAUUUUAAAGAGUCAAUAAAUAGAAACACCAAAUGAUUGCUCCCCAUCAGUGGCAUAGUGGCCUCCAGCCAGCAACCUCGGGGCUCCCCAUCUGAUGGGCCUCCC
rnacentral:lncRNA from 1 species